rnacentral:rRNA from 1 species
UACGGAAGGCAGCAGUGGGGAAUACUGCACAAUGGGCGCAAGCCUGAUGCAGCCAUGCCGCGUGUAUGAAAAAGGCCUUCGGGUUGUAAAGUACUUUCAGUCGUGAGGAAGGUGUUAAGGUUAAUAACCUUAGCAAUUGACGUUAGCGACAGAAGAAGCACCGGCUAACUCCGUGCCAGCAGCCGCGGUAAUACGGAGGGUGCGAGCGUUAAUCGGAAUUACUGGGCGUAAAGGGCACGCAGGCGGUUAAUUAAGUUGGAUGUGAAAUCCCCGGGCUUAACCUGGGAAUGGCAUUCAAGACUGGUUAGCUAGAGUCUUGUAGAGGGGGUAGAAUUCCAUGUGUAGCGGUGAAAUGCGUAGAGAUGUGGAGGAAUACCGGUGGCGAAGGCGGCCCCUGGACAAAGACUGACGCUCAUGUGCGAAAGCGUGGGGAGCAAACAGGGAUUAGAUACC